GAGUUUGAUCUUGGCUCAGAUUGAACGCUGGCGGCAGGCCUAACACAUGCAAGUCGAGCGGUAGAGAGAAGCUUGCUUCUCUUGAGAGCGGCGGACGGGUGAGUAAUGCCUAGGAAUCUGCCUGGUAGUGGGGGAUAACGCUCGGAAACGGACGCUAAUACCGCAUACGUCCUACGGGAGAAAGCAGGGGACCUUCGGGCCUUGCGCUAUCAGAUGAGCCUAGGUCGGAUUAGCUAGUUGGUGAGGUAAUGGCUCACCAAGGCGACGAUCCGUAACUGGUCUGAGAGGAUGAUCAGUCACACUGGAACUGAGACACGGUCCAGACUCCUACGGGAGGCAGCAGUGGGGAAUAUUGGACAAUGGGCGAAAGCCUGAUCCAGCCAUGCCGCGUGUGUGAAGAAGGUCUUCGGAUCGUAAAGCACUUUAAGUUGGGAGGAAGGGCAGUAAAUUAAUACUUUGCUGUUUGACGUUACCGACAGAAUAAGCACCGGCUAACUCUGUGCCAGCCGCC
rnacentral:rRNA from 1 species